AGACCAAACUAGUCCGUUGCCAAAGAAAGACAGCAGACCAAGCAGAAGUAACAGAUUGCAGUUGGAGACAGAAGGUGGUUAAGCAGCAGCAUUAGAGCUACAGGAGAUGCAUGCAGUUAAGGUGCAAUCCCAUGCCAAAACCAUGAUGAAUGGUCUGCAUUGGCCCAGCAGCUGAUGGGUCAUCUAUCAUAGUUAAGGAAGAAGCUUUCCACCUGUGACUUCUGCAUCCACAGGCUACCACUGCAUUCCUACUGAAUUUCAGAGUUUUACUCCCAAAUAGCACUGGUUGCUGUUAAAUCACCUCUGCUUGAAAAACUCUUGCAAGUUACCUCGCUGGGAAUCAUCAAACUUGCCAUUCUGGAGAAUACUGAUCAUUGUCAGCCACAGUGAAUCAGCCCCCAGACGUGUCACAGAGUGUCUGCAUUUGCGUGCAAAAGGUUUUUGAAGAGACCUUCAGCACAGCUCUGAUGAGACACAGCCUAUGCUGGAGCGAGGAACCCCCCUGGCAGAAACUGGACUACCCGUGUGUUAAUCUGGCUGCUUCAGACACCGAAUACCACACAGAACCCAUGUUGUUCCAAGAAGUGAAUUCAUAUACAGAGCAAGCUGUAAGUCUCAUCAUAAAAGCUCGUUCAUCUCUGAAAAGCUAGUCUGCUUCAGGUGCUUGUGAUUCCCAACUGGGAAAGCUGGUAUCAUUCAUCUGUUGGCAUGUUUGUAAUGUGUCUAAUGCAACAGAUCCAUGAUCGUAGUGGGGAGAGGAAGACUUCUUUCUGAGGAGAUGGGGAAGGUGCCACAAAGAUGCAUUUAUGGUAGCAUAUUGAUGGAGGGGGAAGCAUAAGCGUGUUUACCCAAGGUAAUGUAAUGUGAAUUGCCCUGAGACACACAAGGGUUUAUCAUUACAGUUCACGAGCCACAAAAGGGGGGCCACCAACAGCGAAUGGCUUCAGCGAAGUCAAGCCAUUUCUUUCCAAGGCCUCACACAUUAGUCCACACCAAGUCCGACCAUCUGAGUACCUUGGAAGUGAAUGUAAAUGCCUACAUGAAUAGAGCAAGCUGGACUUUUUGUGAAACACUAAUAAUUUUAUGUAUAUGGUGGUAGCACUCAGGAACUGCUGACCAUGGAGUAAACACAGUUUCUGCCUGAAGGCUGGAAGGUACAUUUCUGUACAGAAAAUACUUCAUAGAAGUUGUAUUACCACCAGCAAGAUCUUGCUCUGCAAAUCUACUUAAUCUAUGUAUUUAGAAUCAUGUGUGCUCUAGUGACAUAAUAAAGGUCAGUUAAUUCUUUUCC
rnacentral:lncRNA from 7 species